GACGAACGCUGGCGGCGUGCCUAAUACAUGCAAGUAGGACGCAGUUGCGAACGGGUGAGUAACGCGUAGGUAACUACCUAUUAGAGGGGGACAACUAUUGGUAACGAUAGCUAAUACCGCAUACUAGUAGAUGGACCUGCGUUGUAUUAGCUAGUAGGUAGGGUAAUGGCCUACCUAGGCAACGAUACAUAGACGACCUUGGGGGGUGGUCGGCCACACUGGGACUGAGACACGGCCCAGACUCCUACGGGAGGCAGCAGUAGGGAAUCUUCGGCAAUGGGUGGAACCCUGACCGAGCAACGCCACGUGAGUGAAGAAGGUUUGCGGAUCGUAAAGCUCUGUUGUUAAGGAAGCGGUACUUAACCAGAAAGGUACGUCUAACUACGUGCCAGCGGCCGCGGUAAUC
rnacentral:rRNA from 1 species